CUAAGAUUCUGACACCGAGUGGAGGCUUCAACGAGGUGAUCUCCUCUGGAGUUGGAUCUGGAAUGGAGUUCCUGCACAUCUCUCCUUGAAGAUGACUUGCAUUUCCCUUCUGCUUUGGCCUUUUGUUGGUUUGGAUCAACCCAUGGAGGCACCAACAGGAUGGGAGAGUGAGAAGGAUGAUGGCAACCCCCAUCUCAUCAGCCCAGUCUCCUCUUAGGAACUCAUCUCGUAUCAAGGCAGAGAUGGCUGGCUCAGCGAGGUCCUGGCUCUUAUACACGAGAGGCUGGACCAAGGUGGAGAGCCGACCCCUCUCAGAAAGGAGCCUCCCGUCACCUUUGAAGCAACCACCCUUCAGAAUAAACUCAGAAAAUUUCCCUGUCCCUUUGUGGCAUUUAGUGUCUUCUUGGGUUCUGACUGUAUAUCAGACAUAGCGUAUCCUUCCAUAAACAUGGUAACUCGAUGAUGAAUUUGGACUUGGUAAUGGACUUGUCUCAGCUCUAACACUUUUUGACAACCCUUCAGACAGCGUGACCAGAGCUUUUCAAAAACAUCCUUCUGCUUGCCUGCUUGGUCCUACCCAGUGCUAAUCCCUUGGUCGUCAAGAAAUAGGAGUCUUUAUGAUCCUGAUCAUACUUGGGAGCCGGUUUAAACCUACAACAUGCAACCCCAUCUCGACCCUAACAAGGUACUGGGAACCUCAUGUCAUUAAAUUCCACAGCCCUGGGAAGUUGAAGGCUGUUCUAGGGAGCUGAACAUAAAUUAACAAUUUAUUUCAUAUCUUCAUAUGCUCAGAAAUCCAAAUCCCUAACUUCUAAACUAGUAUUGUAAACUUUUUUUUUCAGAUGAGGGCUGUUAGAAGAAGUGUUUUUCCAA